ACUCGCAGAGAGUCGGAGACUU
rnacentral:miRNA from 1 species